AGGUGAACACACACAAAGGAAUUUAUUCUAAAGAAAUAUUAUUUACACGUACAUGUUUUUGUCAUGUAAGUUUGUUAAAAGGCCGUUUUGAAGAUUUCAUGGGCUAUCAAGGUUGAUUUUCUGUCAUUUAGUUAGUUUAAGUUAUGUUAACCCUUUUAAGGACUCUACAACAACAAUUCAACUACAAGCACAUAUGAUGGAACUUGAAGACAUGCUUGUAACACUUUUCAAAUUGCGGUUGUUUUAGGGGGUAUUGACUGUUAAAAGUGGAUGUACUGUACAUCCAACACAAUGUUUCCCAACCUUUUUGGCCCAUAUCCCCUUAAAACAAAGCUUCUAUGUCUACGUGUAAGUUCAACCAAAGAAAACUGGGGCCUUAAGAUGUAAAGAUGUGUUGUCAAGUUAUCGAUGAGAGAAAAAAGUUGAAUAUUUUGUGCAGUAGGAAUAUAUUUUUUCUGUUUUACUCAUGGCCCCUCAGAUUUAUUUUUGGUUUGGAAUCACAGCUCUAAAAUAUAAAUAAUAAAAUUUUCUACACCACAUAUUGCUACGGAUCCAGACCACUUUUCUACAUUAUAUUUUCUAUGCAAAGUCAGGUUUCGUGUGAGCAAAGCAGUGAUCCUUUUAACUGUUUGAUGUGCCUUGAUUGUGCUGCCUCCUGGUGGUUUGAACACAGUGGUGCAUGCACUGAUUUCUCAUUUGAAAAUCAAGUCAAUUGUUUUCUCAUCUUUUAAUUUGUUUUAAUUUAAAGAAAUUGGUGCAACAGCCUACAUCCUGAAUUCAGUCUCUAGGUCGGUGUAAUUGAAAAUUCAAAAAAGUUAAAUCAGACGAACAAAGUUUCAGAUGAUGAAGAACCUAAUGUUCAUACUGUCAGCAACCUGAAGACUGUUGAUUUGCUGUUUACGUCUUCACCUGCUGCUCUUCAACGCUCGUUGGCUAAAUGUUUAUGGUGAAAGGUCGAUUUUGAUUUUUUUCUGGCACACUGAAGAUUGAUUUAUUUAAUCACAGAGAGAUCUAUUUUUCCAUUUGACAAAUGUCUGUAAUUUUUCUAUUAUCAAAUCAUUCUACCGGAGUGUUGUUGGUAAAAUAAAAUAAAUGAUGA